UAACACAUGCAAGUCGAACGAAGUAGCAAUACUUAGUGGCAGACGGGUGAGUAACAUGUAGGUAUCUGCCCUUUGGCCUGGAAUAACACGAGGAAACUUGUGCUAAUACCGGAUAAGUCUUUACGGAGAAAGCUUUAUGCACCAUUGGAUGAGCCUGCACUUGAUUAGUUUGUUGGUGGGGUAAUGGCCUACCAAGACUGUGAUCAAUAGCUGAUUUGAGAGGAUGAUCAGCCACAUUGGGACUGAGACACGGCCCAAACUCCUACGGGAGGCAGCAGUGGGGAAUCUUGCACAAUGGAGGAAACUCUGAUGCAGCGAUGCCGCGUGAGUGAAGAAGGCCCUUGGGUUGUAAAGCUCUUUCGUCGGGGAAGAAAAUGACUGUACCCGAAUAAGAAGGUCCGGCUAACUUCGUGCCAGCAGCCGCGGUAAUACGAAGGGACCUAGCGUAGUUCGGAAUUACUGGGCUUAAAGAGUUCGUAGGUGGUUGAAAA
rnacentral:rRNA from 1 species